AUUCUGGGCGUAAGCGCACGCAGGCGGUUUGUUAAGCUAGAUGUGAAAGCCCCGGGCUCAACCUGGGACGGUCAUUUAGAACUGGCAGACUAGAGUCUUGGAGAGGGGAGUGGAAUUCCAGGUGUAGCGGUGAAAUGCGUAGAUAUCUGGAGGAACAUCAGUGGCGAAGGCGACUCCCUGGCCAAAGACUGACGCUCAUGUGCGAAAGUGUGGGUAGCGAACAGGAUUAGAUACCCUGGUAGUCCACACCGUAAACGCUGUCUACUAGCUGUUUGUGGCUUUAAGCCGUGAGUAGCGAAGCUAACGCGAUAAGUAGACCGCCUGGGGAGUACGGCCGCAAGGUUAAAACUCAAAUGAAUUGACGGGGGCCCGCACAAGCGGUGGAGCAUGUGGUUUAAUUCGAUGCAACGCGAAGAACCUUACCUACACUUGACAUGUUGAGAAGUUACUAGAGAUAGUUUCGUGCCUUCGGGAACUCAAACACAGGUGCUGCAUGGCUGUCGUCAGCUCGUGUCGUGAGAUGUUGGGUUAAGUCCCGCAACGAGCGCAACCCUUGUCCUUAGUUGCCAGCAUU
rnacentral:rRNA from 1 species